rnacentral:piRNA from 1 species
CAGAAACAGAAAACAGGGUAGAUGGGA